rnacentral:rRNA from 1 species
AAUCUGUGGAUCGAGGAUUCGUCCAAGUGGAGCAGAGGACAGUGGCGGACGGGUGAGUAACGCGUGAGGAACCUGCCUUUCAGAGGGGGACAACAGUUGGAAACGACUGCUAAUACCGCAUGAUACAUUUGGGUGGCAUCAUCUGAAUGUCAAAGAUUUAUCGCUGAAAGAUGGCCUCGCGUCUGAUUAGCUAGUUGGUGAGGUAACGGCCCACCAAGGCGACGAUCAGUAGCCGGACUGAGAGGUUGACCGGCCACAUUGGGACUGAGAUACGGCCCAGACUCCUACGGGAGGCAGCAGUGGGGAAUAUUGGGCAAUGGGCGCAAGCCUGACCCAGCAACGCCGCGUGAAGGAAGAAGGCUUUCGGGUUGUAAACUUCUUUUAAGAGGGAAGAGCAGAAGACUGUACCUCUAGAAUAAGCCACGGCUAACUACGUGCCAGCAGCCGCGGUAAUACGUAGGUGGCAAGCGUUGUCCGGAUUUACUGGGUGUAAAGGGCGUGCAGCCGGGAAUGCAAGUCAGAUGUGAAAUCCAUGGGCUUAACCCAUGAACUGCAUUUGAAACUGUAUUUCUUGAGUACUGGAGAGGCAAUCGGAAUUCCUAGUGUAGCGGUGAAAUGCGUAGAUAUUAGGAGGAACACCAGUGGCGAAGGCGGAUUGCU